UAUUUGUUGUGUUUUGUGAAAAGAAUAUUACCAGAGAGCAGAGAAGGAGCAAGUAUCUCACUGUAGUGAAAUGGUAGUCAGCUAGCUUGCCGAUGUUUAUUUCCCCGGCUGUUUUUCACCUGAUUAUGAACUGAGACUUGAUGAGUCAUAUUCCAUAACACUUAGAUUCAAACGGACACACUAAUGUUAUUGUAGAAAUAUAACCUAUCACUGGUAUAACAUUGGCCACACAACUUUCUUGUCAUGUGGAAUUAACGCAUGUUAAAGCAGCGUGCUAUGUAGCGAACUAGCUGCUGUGUUUGUGAUACUGAGCUCGCUGCAUUUCACUGUGUAGCAGCUUUUGUGUAGUGAAGCUUUAUUCAUGGCAGAGUAACUGUUAGCUUAGCUGAGUUCAAUGUGAAAGCAACUUGCCAACACAGUGUAUUAUUCACAUGUAAUUCAACAAAAGUAAGAUACCUCUCGUAUCUCAUAUCCCGCUUACUUACAAUAAAGGCAACAGAACAUCUGACCUUAGAAUGGUUUGCAAACAAGCUUAUUUACAAUUUCAGCAACUUUCGGUUCAUCAUCAACAAUAUUCAUCAACAUAGGAGUUUUGUUUAAGAAAGGUGAAGAAAGAAAAUAAGCUUGAACUUCUUUGUGAAAUGUUUUUGUGUAGACUCUCCCAAAUCUUCCGUUUUCAUUUUGAAGGUUUCCAAAGGACAAACAUGUGAGGAAGAAGUGGCUUUGAGGGGAGAUGGACUUACAGCAAGUGAUUCAUCAGUGCUUCGCUGUGAACACUUCAAGCAGAGGGACUUUGAUAAGACGGGUCAGAUUGUCCCACUCCGAGAUGGUGUUAUUCCAUCAGUCUUCAGCUUCCCGGUUCACCUCCAAAAAGAUCGUGGUCACGCCUGCUCCUCCUACCGCUCUUAAGACGAGACUCAACGAAGCCUUGGCAGGAGUGGGUUACAAGUGGAGAGUUACAUUCUGCACUGCAUGGUUAGUUAGACCCUCUUUGGUGCAAACACCCGGCGUUCUGUUGAAGUUAUUUGUGUGCAUGUGUGUGCGUGCUUGCAAAUAUUCAAU
ensembl:lncRNA